rnacentral:rRNA from 1 species
UACGUAGGGUGCAAGCGUUGUCCGGAAUUAUUGGGCGUAAAGAGCUACGUAGGCGGUCUGUCGCGUCUGCUGUGAAAACUCAGGGCUUAACCCUGAGCUUGCAGUGGGUACGGGCAGACUAGAGUGCGGUAGGGGAGACUGGAAAUUCCUGGUGUAGCGGUGAAAUGCGCAGAUAUCGAGGAGGAACACCGGUGGCGGAAGGCGGGUCUCUGGGCCGAUACUGA